AUUGAACGCUGGCGGCAGGCUUAACACAUGCAAGUCGAGCGGGGUGAUGGUGCUUGCACUAUCACUUAGCGGCGGACGGGUGAGUAAUGCUUAGGAAUCUGCCUAUUAGUGGGGGACAACAUCUCGAAAGGGAUGCUAAUACCGCAUACGUCCUACGGGAGAAAGCAGGGGAUCACUUGUGACCUUGCGCUAAUAGAUGAGCCUAAGUCGGAUUAGCUAGUUGGUGGGGUAAAGGCCUACCAAGGCGACGAUCUGUAGCGGGUCUGAGAGGAUGAUCCGCCACACUGGGACUGGGCCACGGCCCAGACUCCGACGGGAGGCAGCAGUGGGGAAUAUUGGACAAUGGGGGGAACCCUGAUCCAGCCAUGCCGCGUGUGUGAAGAAGGCCUUAUGGUUGUAAAGCACUUUAAGCGAGGAGGAGGCUCUUUUGGUUAAUACCCAAGAUGAGUGGACGUUACUCGCAGAAUAAGCACCGGCUAACUCUGUGCCAGCCGCCGCAGUAA
rnacentral:rRNA from 1 species